ACUUGAAUAGCUUAUUAUUAGAGCAUAACAUUGAAGAUGUUGUUGAGAUGAAUUUUAUCUUUAAGUA
rnacentral:tRNA from 1 species